ACCUGUUCAAAGUUUCGAAAUCUGUUCUGAAAACAGGUACGCUCGAGCGGGAAUUCCUCCGCUCGAGCGGGAAUUACGGGACAGCAGCUUAAAAUGAGAUUUUUUGGAUCAUUUCUCACAUUUUCCUUUUCCCCUCUUCAUCCCUCUCCCCUAGGUCCGAAAACCCUAGGUCCUUAAUCUCCAAAACCUUCAAUUUCUCUUAGUUUUGAUCAAGAUCGUCCAUCAAAAAGUGAAGAAGCAUGAAGAUUAUUAUGUUCUACCGGUUGGAAUUUCGAGAUUUUGGAGGAUUCUUCUCAAUCCUUGCUCCUUUGUUUGAUUCUUGAGGAUUAGCUACAAGGACGGACUACGCACCUGAACACUGCACUCAACCUGGAGAUUUAACCUGCACCUGUGGCUUUUGUUACCCAGUUGUCAAACCCUGAGUAUCAAAGCUAUUAGAUGUUGAUUGUUCAAGUUAUGGAGUUUUGCUAAGUUUUAAUUUGUACCCUAAUUGUCUGUUAAGAUCGGCGUAUAUGUAUAUGUACAUAGCUAUCUUCAGGUGCACGUCACUGUAUAUUUAACUGCAUUAUGUUCUGUUUGUGAUCCUGGCAUGGUAGUGGUAGCUCAAUGGAUAUAUUGUUAUAAUUAUUAUUAUUUUUGUUUGCUAUUAUAUACUAUUAAAUGCU